GAGGAGAGCUUGGCAUGUGAUGAUAUAGGAUCAAAUAUGAUGAAUGGUAACUGAGAAGCAAACAUUAUAUUGGACAAUUGGGAGGUCACCGUUGGUCCUUGAUCUCUCUGUGUACCCUACUGGCACAGGAACUAGGGCCCAAGCUCAUGCUAGGAAAGCACUUUCCCACAGAGCUCCACUCCCAGUCCUUUUAAACUUGAUUUUGAGAUAGGAUCACACUAAGUUGCCCAGGCUGACCUGGACCUCAUUCUGUAGCCCAGGAAGAUCUUGAACCUGCCGUCCUCUUGCCUCAGCAUCCUGAGAUUACAAGCUUUCUCUACCAGGCUUAAUACUUUUAGUCUCCUAAUACAGUAGUAGCAGCAAAUGAAGAUAGAACACAGCUGACUUAAGCUCUGCCCUCCCCACUACCCAGUACCCUCCGUACACUGGAAGUUGAGUAUGGCACAUUUUCUAGACCCAGCCUCAGAAACUUCUUUGACAGCAGUCACUACCAAUGAAAUGAGAGCAAUCACUAAACUGAAGUUUCAUAGGGUGUUGGGAGGAAGCAAAACUGCGAUAUGCUGAAGUGUCUGAGCAAGAAUUGAUCAAGGAGGUGAGGACAGCAUGUCAGGUAGCUUAGGGAUAUAGAAAGGGUAAUUGCUUAGCCGGUCCACCAAGGUAAUGGUUACUUUUCCUCCAGCAGAAUAUGUUUCCAAAGUCAUCUUAAUAUUUGUCCAGCAAACAAGCCAGAUAAAACAAUACCCCUGUGUAAUCCCAUCUUUUAUCACCAUCCUUGGCCAAAGGAAAGCUGAAUGUUAAAAAAAAAAAAAAAAAAAAAAGCUUGAUGUGUAGGCCUGUUUCCAAAAUAUUCAUUUCAUCAACAGAGCCAUAUGGUGUAACCAAAGUUGGCCCGGCAUGUAUUUAUGAAGGAGGAAUUCUCUCUAAUAGUGGAAACUUGAGUAUCGGUAGUAAUGUAGAGAAGGUAUUGCUCUUGGCCAGGGCUCUUCCACUAAAACCACGCCCUGAAGGAAAAUUUUGGUUUUCAGGGAAAACCUAGAGAGGUGGAAAGCCCUACCUUUGUCUUGCCUGCCUCUUCCCGAGGUCCUGAGCAACUACUCUAGGCCAGGCACUGUCCAUGCUUUAUGUGAAUUAACUCGUUUUCUAUUACCUCGUCCUCCUUUCCUCCCACCACUUCCAGCUCCUCAUCCCUGUCCAUUUUUCUUAGCCAUUUCCACUUGAUCCUUCUCUUGAUCUCUGCUGCUCUCUGAUUUCAGAGUUCAUGAAGACAGGCUAAGUUCUAAACUCACCCACUUUGAUGAGAACAGACAUCUGUACAGAAAUUGAUUUUACUCGCUGUCCAUUAUAUCCAGAAUCCUAUUUCUUUGUAUAGUUGGUAAGGCCUAAGAAGAAGGAAGAGUAUCUAGCAUUAAAUAAUGAUGUUUGUUAAACAUUUAUUAUAAGACAGGUACUAUCGCAAGUACUUCCUGUGAGUCACCUCAUUUAUAUUUUUGCAGCAACCCUAUAAACUAGGUUCUGUUAUUUUUCCUACUUUACAAACAAGAAAGCCAAGAGAUUAAUAGCAAAGAUUUUCCUAAGAUCACACAGCUAGUAAAGGGCAUAAUUGCGGUUAAAGGCUCAUCACACAUGACUCCAGAAGUCCUUGUCUUUAGCUAAUUCAUGACUUAGUGAAAAACCCACUGGGUUCAAAUGCACAGCUGUGAUGAUUUUAAUAGUAUUAUCAUUAAGCUAUUGGACAAGCCACCUAACUGGUCCCAUGAUGCACACACUGAACCAAUAUAUUUAUUAUAUAUUUACAGUUAUUCCUGUUUCUCCUAUUAUAUUGUUCUCUACAUUUUUAUCCUGAGAACUGCCACCAUACCUGAUUCUUUUUGUUUUGUUCAUUCCACUUUUCUAGGGGUUCUAGAAUGAUACUUAGCACCCAACAGAAUGCAUGCUCAUGUGUAUAUGUAGUGCUGUGCAUUGGCUAUUUCAGGAACCUCACUAAAUAGGUUAAUUAGGUAAACAGGCUAUAGAUAUAUGCACAAGUCACUUCUAAGUUCAUUGGCUAAUGAAAUAAGACUUGUUAAUAUUGGGCACAUUCUCUGAUUAAAUGUGUUCAGUGCUCAAGUAAGAUAACAUUUCUGGAUUUACCUUGCCAUUUUGCUUACUAGACUUUUUCAAUAGCAAAUGUUUUAAAAAUUAU
rnacentral:lncRNA from 1 species